CCCUUAGAUGUUCUGGGCUGCACGCGUGCUACAAUGGCGUUUCCAGCAAGUCUGCGAACCCGAGAGGGCCGGCGGAUCUUCGAAUUGGCGUCGUGAUCGGGACAGUCGAUUGCAAUUAUUUGACUCAAACGAGGAAUUCCUUGUAAUCGCGAUUCAUCAUAUCGCGCUGAAUACGUCCCUGCCCUUUGUACACACCGCCCGUCGCUCCUACCGAUUGAGCGAUCCGGUAAAUGUUUUGGAUUGGUGCCGGGGCGGCUAGCUGCCGGUCGCUACGAAAUUUUGUGAACCUUAUCGCUUAGAGGAAGGAAAAGUCGUAACA
rnacentral:rRNA from 1 species